rnacentral:rRNA from 1 species
UACAGAGGUCUCAAGCGUUGUUCGGAUUCAUUGGGCGUAAAGGGUGCGUAGGCGGCGCGGUAAGUCGGGUGUGAAAUUUCGAGGCUUAACUUCGAAACUGCAUUCGAUACUGCCGGGCUAGAGUCCGGAAGAGGCGAGUGGAAUUCCUGGUGUAGCGGUGGAAUGCGCAGAUAUCAGGAGGAACACCAAUGGCGAAGGCAGCUCGCUGGGACGGUACUGACGCUGAGGCGCGAAAGCGUGGGGAGCGAACAGG